AACUUUUGGUUUUCUGAUUUGAUCAGAAAACCAUUUGAAAAAAUUACAAGAACAAAUUCCUAUUAAUUUUAGUGGGUAUAUACGUCUGCAGCUCCUGCCUGACACCCAAGCUAAUGUAACUGCGGGAAAGAAUAUCAAGAAUCUUUUUAUUGUCGUAUUUGGUAAGGGCAACAGCGCGUUUGGAUAUACUGUCAAUUUCGGACGGAUGCAAGCCAAGCCAGCGCAGCAUUGGUGUGGCAAGACUCUUGGACGAGAAGCUCAUGGCUUGCGAACCGUGUCGGUAGGUGAGCAUUAUCUCAAUGCCAAAUGGAUCGGCAUCUACCAGAAUAUAGGCAGGCAAGUUGCACUCAACGGACAAUCUGUGCACAAUGCGUCGCGUUGUACAGUCCGGAUAUCCCUUGCCGGUCAACAAAAUGAAACGCAAGCCAAUCGUGUUGCAAGCAUUGCAGGCAAGCAAGCUCUCAAAGACAGACUCCUUUUCAACGAUCAGGACCAUUUCGGCAUUUGUCACAAUGCGUUCCACAUUCUCAAAGUCCGUUGGCAAUGUUAUAGCUCCACAAUAGACGUUGCAGUCCAAUAUAUCGCCAUUGCUCAUGAGCAGCUUAAUGUCACCUAAAAUAGAGAAAUAGUUAAUUCUACAGCAUAUUGUGGUUUGACAAAACUUCACACCUGCAAUAAGUCCUUUCGACGCCGAUAAUAUGCCCAGAUUGACGGGCGCCGUGUUCAGCAUGCGGCAGACAUCCAAUUUGGCUGCCACAAUGUAGCUCUGCGAGCGAACCACAUGAGUGUCCCGAUAGUAGAGUCCACGGAUUGUGCAACUACCGCCGGACAAGUGCAAGUUAUGGAUCUCGGCCAAGAGAUACACAAUCAGACAAAACCGGUGACGACUACGUCGAUUAUUGUACAUAAUCUUGCGACAAUUCAAAAUUGCCUUCACGUUAUCAAAUACUCCGAUAUUAUCCUCAAAAUUGAUUGGGUCGUACCAAUCUCGACAUAUGCGUGGAAUUUUUAAAGUAACAUUCUCAAAAGACGUAAUACUUGAGAUCAGCUCGAGCACAAUCUGCUCAACAUGCACCAAUAGUUCGUACAUAUUGGAAGACAUCGCCGUUACGUCUGAUACACAAGAUAUAUAUAUGUAUAUAUAUAUGAUAAUAGACUGUCGAGCCGAGUUUUUUUUCUUUUGAUUCGCCACCUAUUUUCCAUUUGGGGAAAACUUUUGAAAAUAUGAUGUAAAGCAAUGAAAACUUGAAGCCAAUCGGACGAGAAUCAAAAUUUCUGAUUGGAUUUUACACAUGGUAUUCAAUAAACUUAUAAAAUCGAAUUGGAAACUUAUGUUUCUCAGAAGAGCCCAA